CUGUCCGUCGUGGUGCCCGCCGGCUGUUCGUCAAAAUGCGCAGCCAGCCGCGCGCUGCCGGCUCGCUGUUUCGUGGAGCCCUGUGGACAGCACGCCGUCGACGCCCACCGUGUGUUCGCUGUUUUGCGCAGCCCAUCCGCGACGCCGUCGAAAACCGUGCUAGUGGUCGACGUCGUGCCUUGCCCGUUCGACGAAAUACCGAGCCAUGUGGACAGCCAUGCGUCUAGUCACGACCCGUUCAGGACCGAGAGAUGA
rnacentral:misc_RNA from 1 species